CCCGCAUGAUGACAUCCGGGAAUGCGGCAGACUGCCGACUGCACAGUGAGAAAGCCAACCUUGGAGAGCUGAGCGUGUG